rnacentral:lncRNA from 1 species
UCGGUUAGUACAAAUCUCAUACUUUCAUUUGACAUCUAUUUAGCAUUUCUAUAAUAUGCACAUAUAAAUUAACAUCAACUCAUGCAUUCAUUUGGCAUCUAUCUUUAUCAUGCAUUCUUAAUUAGCAUACUUUAUCAUGCAUUCUCAAAUAGCAUACUUUAAUCUUUAUCAUGCAUUCUUAAAUAGCAUACUUUAUCAUGCGUCAAUAGUAAACAUACUACACUUUAGCAUGGAAAGCGACCUAAUCGCUUCGGUGAGCACAACCCACCUCAUUUCGCAUUCCGAUUGCUUGUCGACACUUGCAAUCGGCCUCCCGCGGCACCCGUAACCCGGUUUGGCCCGAUCUCUCACGCGACCACCCGAACGGCCUCCAAUUCACGAUCCGAAAAUUAAAGGUCUUCGGUUAUGUGCCACGAAGCUUCAAAUCCAUUUUCAUGAAUUUACGAUAUCGCCUCGGCCCUCCCGGCGGACCCGAAGCCUAAACGUCCGUUUCUUUAAUAACUUCGCAACGGCUCGUCGGAUUGCCGAACCGUCUUCGCCAACGCGUUCGUUUACCUAGCAAUUAGGUUUAUAUAGGGUCAAUUUAGAUCAAACCCUUACAUUUUACAAAACCCCAUUCGGAGCCCUAAUAUGCUAUUAACCUCAAAAUAAUCCAAAAUUAAAUGGAUCAACAUGCUAACAAAGCUCAUUAGAGGCUAUUAGAAUACUUAAAGCUAAGGAUUAAGCCAAAUCCUAAAAGCUUACCUCAAUGUGAACGCCGCGACGACAACACACCGCUCCAACGGGCGCACGAAAGCUCAAUCCGUCGCCUCCAACGCGUUCGCAAGCAUAUUCUCCACCAACCCCGCGAAUUUGAGCGAGAAAUAUAGAGAAAUGAGAGAGAUCUCUAGAGAGAGAAAGGAGAGUUUCUCUCCUCUCUCCAUGUGUGCGUGAGGUGUGUGUGGGUGUGCACGGCUGAAGGAGGAAGAAGAAGCAUCAUGCUUCUAUUUAAUUACACCCCAACACUAUUCACCUCCAGGCAGCUUAAAAUCUGAUAACUUUCGCCGGAGCUCCCUGAAUCUCCGUUUGAGCUCAAACUUGACAGUCAUGUUCGGUUUUACUUAACUUAACAAGCUGACGAUCACUGGUUCAGUUUCGACCCCGUUUGGUCACUGAAAACUGUACCGAACUGCAAUCUUUAUCAGAUAGCUUUCGGAUUUUAUUUCUCACUCUAUGGGUGUCAGAAAAAUAUGAAACCUUAAAUCUAGCCUCAUAAAAAUAUUUCUGACAUCUCCG